GGGGUGUUAGGGCACGACACCGGAGAGGGAGCCUGAGAAACGGCUACCACAUCCAAGGAAGGCAGCAGGCGCGCAAAUUACCCAAUCCCGACACGGGGAGGUAGUGACAAUAAAUAACAAUACAGGGUUCUUUUGGAUCUUGUAAUUGGAAUGAGUACAAUUUAAAUCUCUUAACGAGGAACAAUUGGAGGGCAAGUCUGGUGCCAGCAGCCGCGGUAAUUCCAGCUCCAAUAGCGUAUAUUAAAGUUGUUGCAGUUAAAAAGCUCGUAGUUGAAUUUCGGAAUCAAUAUUUCGGUUAUGCCGUUGGUAUGCACUGUUAUCAUUGAUUUCUCACCUUCUAAAGAACCGUAAUGCCAUUAAUUUGGUGUUACGGGGAAUUAGGACUGUUACCUUGAAAAAAUUAGAGUGUUUAAAGCAGGCUCACGCUUGAAUACAUUAGCAUGGAAUAAUGAAAUAGGACAUCCGAUUCUAUUUUGUUGGCUUCUAGGAUCGAUGUAAUGAUUAAUAGGGAUAGUUGGGGGCAUUAGUAUUCAAUUGUCAGAGGUGAAAUUCUUGGAUUUAUUGAAGACUAACUACUGCGAAAGCAUUUGCCAAGGAUGUUUUCAUUAAUCAAGAACGAAAGUUAGGGGAUCGAAGACGAUCAGAUACCGUCGUAGUCUUAACCAUAAACUAUGCCGACUAGGGAUCGGAUGAU
rnacentral:rRNA from 1 species